rnacentral:rRNA from 1 species
CCUACGGGUGGCAGCAGUGGGGAAUAUUGGACAAUGGGGGAAACCCUGAUGCAGCGAAGCCGCGUGAGGGAAGAAGUAUUUCGGGAUGUAAAGCUCUAUCAGCAGGGAAGAAAAUGACGGUACCUGACUAAGAAGCCCCGGCUAACUACGUGCCAGCAGCCGCGGUAAUACGUAGGGGGCAAGCGUUAUCCGGAUUGACUGGGUGUAAAGGGAGCGUAGACGGCCAGACAAGUCAGAAGUGAAAGCCCCGGGCUCAACCCUGGGACUGCUUUUGAAACUGCCGGGCUGGAGUGCAGGAGAGGUAAGCGGAAUUCCUAGUGUAGCGGUGAAAUGCGUAGAUAUUAGGAGGAACCCCAGUGGCGAAGGCGGCUUACUGGACUGUAACUGACGUUGAGGCUCGAAAGCGUGGGGAGCAAACAGGAUUAGAUACCCUUGUAGUC